UACGUAGGGUGCAAGCGUUAAUCGGAAUACUGGGCGUAAAGCGUGCGCAGGCGGUUCGUUGUGUCGGCGGUGAAAGCCCCCGGGGCUUAACCUGGGAAUGGCCGUUGAAACUGGCGAACUGGAGUGUGGCAGAGGGGGGUGGAAUUCCGCGUGUAGCAGUGAAAUGCGUAGAGAUGCGGAGGAACACCGAUGGCGAAGGCGGCUUCCUGGACCGACACUGACGCUGAGGCGCGAAAGCUAGGGGAGCAAACGGG
rnacentral:rRNA from 1 species